rnacentral:tRNA from 1 species
GACACUUUGGCCGAGUUGGUCUAAGGCGUCCGACUCAAGAAUUCGGAUCUCGUAAGAGGCGUGGGUUCGAAUCCCACAGGUGUCA